rnacentral:rRNA from 1 species
GCACAAGCGGUGGAUGAUGUGGUUAAUUCGAUGCAACGCGAAAACCUUACCCACCUUUGACAUGGCAGGAAUCCCGAAGAGAUUUGGGAGUGCUCGAAAGAGAACCUGCACACAGGUGCUGCAUGGCUGUCGUCAGCUCGUGUCGUGAGAUGUUGGGUUAAGUCCCGCAACGAGCGCAACCCUUGCCAUUAGUUGCUACGAAAGGGCACUCUAAUGGGACUGCCGGUGACAAACCGGAGGAAGGUGGGGAUGACGUCAAGUCCUCAUGGCCCUUAUAGGUGGGGCUACACACGUCAUACAAUGGCCGGUACAGAGGGUAGCCAACCCGCGAGGGGGAGCCAAUCCCACAAAGCCGGUCGUAGUCCGGAUCGCAGUCUGCAACUCGACUGCGUGAAGUCGGAAUCGCUAGUAAUCGCGGAUCAGCACGUCGCGGUGAAUACGUUCCCGGGUCUU